GGCUCAAUGGCAUAGUGGUUAACACUGUUGCCUCACAGCAAGAAGGCUGUGGGUUUGAAUCCCAACUUGGGCCU